rnacentral:tRNA from 1 species
GCCGCCCUGGGGUUCAGGGACCCGUUGCGGUUCAGAGCCGCGGUGGGAUUCGGGGGCCCGCUGCGGUUCGGGGCCGCCGUGGGGCUC